UCUUAUGGUUAUAGUUUAAUUACAACUUUAGGUGGGGCCUAGUGUGGAGCAAAUAUUUUCGUUUCCAAUUACAAGACGCCACGUGGAUAAGAUGAAUAUUUCCUAGGUUAAUUAAUUGAGCCCAUUUAUUUGGUCAAUUAAUUAAUAGUAAAAAUUGGGAUAAUAUCUUAAUUAUGAGAUAUUAUCAUUAUUGAAUAAGAUCAUACCACCAAUUUAGAUAUUAUCCUAAUAAGGAGAUAUUAUCAUCAUCAAAUUAGGGAUGUGAUAGGAGAUUUGAUCCCAAUCAAAUCCUUAAUGGACUCAAGGUAUCAAGGUACUUCUUUACAAAACCCUAGCCUCCGAGGCUCUUAUAAAAUACAUGGCUUCGUUCAUCACUCAAGAUACUUAUAAACCUAAUUCUAAAACCCGAGAAAAUACUCAAAACUCUCUAUCUCUCUUUUCCUAACUGCCGGCAACGCCAACACCGCCACCGGCCACACCACUAUCCUCGCUCCAUAUUUUAUAUACACGGCUCCUGCCACCCCCCACACAAUGCUCAGGUCGCUCAGUUCACACCAUAUAUACAUCUCCGUACUCUUUUUUAGCUAUUGUUUCUCCUAGAUUCAAUCGAAAUAACUUUGACAUCGGAGGGUAUUUGGCCAACACCCCCUGGGUGUGGUCUAUUUACUCCGGUCCUUUAUAGAGGAACUGAGGAAGAGAGAGAAGGAAGAUCAAAGGUUGAAGGAUCCCAAAGUGAAUAUUUUGCAACGAGGAUUUUUGCACAAACACUUAGGACAUCAAAGGUUUUUUUUUUUUUUUUUUGGACAAAGAUUUGCAAAACUUAUUCUCUUGCACGAGGGAAAGUAUAAUAAGUGAUGUGGUGAGAGGUGGUAUAUAGAGUGGACAAGAGGCAAAGAUAGUUAAUAUUAUCUAGAGAGAGAAAAAUGGUUGUUUGGGGGAGGAGUAAAAGAUAGGAGAAGAGGCCCAAAAAAAUAUUUUAAAUCUCCGAGAUCUUUGAUACGGAAGUAGUUGAGGAGGAAUGUUUUGAGACGUUCCAUUUCUUGAAAAUUAUUUCCUGUGUGGAGUAUGUCAUUAACAUAGAUAAGGACUGUCAUAAAUGAA
rnacentral:lncRNA from 1 species